GGAACUGGAAGCUGGGCCCGUGGGGGAGCACACAUGGUCGCCGUCCCGGUCCCCGCCCUGGGGCCGGGCACCCGUGGUCUGCAGCACGGUCCGGAAGGCGAGCUCGAUGCGGAGCGAGUCGUAGCCGAUGAAGGGCUUCCAGGUCUUCUUGUCCUCCUUGUAGAACCAGCGUACCUCCUCCGGGCCCAGCUCCGUCACUACCUCAUAGCGGUGCCGGGCCGCCGGGCCACCAAGCCGGAAGAAUCCAGGAACUCAUGAGAUUCUUUGGUGCCUGCAAAUUCUGAUCUCCUUUAAAGGUCAUGAAAACUGUGAGAACCCCAUUAGAGCUAAAAGAGUUUUAAGUCCUAUCAAGGGCUUAUCCUUGGUCAUUGUGCUGAUUUUGAUGGAAAGGACAUCACAAGGCUCAACCUGCUUUAAAAACUUCCUCAGUAGGGCAUUUCCUUCCUACAUGGUUUGACAUACAUUCAUAACAAAGGUAGGCACACUGUCCUUGUUUGUUUGUUUGUUUGUUUGUUUAUUUAUUUAUUGAGAUGGAGUUUCACUCUUGUUGCCCAGGCUGGAGUGCAAUGGCAUGAUCUCGACUCAUUGCAACCUCUGCCUCCUGGGUUCAAGCGAUUCUCCUGCCUCAGCCUCCCAAGUAGCUGAGAUUACAGGCAUGCACCACCAUGCCCAGCUAAUUUUGUAUUUUUAGUACAGACAGGGUUUCACCAUGUUGGUCAGGCUGGUCUUGAACUCCUGACAUCAGGUGAUCCACCAGUCUCAGCCUCCCAAAGUGCUGGGAUUAUAGGCAUGAGCCACCGCACCCAGCCUGUAUGUAUAUUUUUAAAUGUGUGCAGCUGGUAUGACCAGGCUUUUCACUAGAUAUAAAUGAGGUCAUAUUAACUUUCUAAUGCUCCAAAUAUAACUUGAGCCCCCACUUAAUUGAUUGCUAGUCAAAUAUUUCCCAAAUAUUCCCUGUUGUCCCCCAAAGGAUAGCUUAUAUCUGCUUACGGUCUGUCCACUACAGUAAUCAUCCAAGCCAACCAUGUUCCUUUCCUGCUAGUCUAGCAACACUGUGUUCACCCAUAUGCCCUGCUUGUCCUCCAAGUAGCUUGAAGGAAUCUCAUUGUUGCCUUGGUAAUGAUGCUGUACCCUCCUGAUAUUGGUGGUGGCCUUACCAAGAGCAUGGUCUUCUGAUUCCCUCUGGCUCCACCAUCCAGGUGCCAAGCUGAGCAGGGAGGAGGGGACACGCCCAGCUCUGAGCCAUGCCUUUCACCUGAAACUUCAAGUGUUCCUCCUGCCUGUCUCCUGAGUAGCUGGGAUUACAGGCAUGCACGGCUACACCUGGCUAAUUUUUUGUAUUUUUAGUAGAGAUGAGGUUUCACCAUGUGGGCCAGGCUGUUCUUGAACUCCUGACCUCAAAUGAUCCACCUGCCUUGUUGGCCUCCCAAAGUGCUGGGAUUACAGGCAUUGAGCUGCUGUACCCGGCCAGAAUCUGCAACUCUUAAAUGACAACUUCCUCACCUCUAUCACCCAGGUUUCAAAAAUCUUAGGGCCCAGGCCCAGCUAAAGCACUUUAGGCACAAAGGAAACUCUGCCAUCCAGAGGGGAAAAGGUAGCUCCUUUGCUAUUAACCUAAUAAACUCUUAAUUAUUUAGCCGAUUGGUAAAGGCAUGAAGGGUCUAAAGUCUGAAGACCAGCCAAUGUCAGAGUAUUAAAUACCUGAGACUGGAAAACUCUAGGUAGUUUCACAUGAAUCUGGUAGAUAAUGGGAAGAACAGAGGAUGAGAGGGAAAGCUUCCAAAAACAGAUUCUAGAAAUAAAUUAUAUGCAAGACAAACUCUGGCCUAUCAAUUAAGCUAUAAACUUUUUGACUUUCUAACAUCACCCAUAUAAGUUAAUAUCACAACAAACUCUGAAAGUGUUGUCAUAAAUAUGACUGACACAAGAUUACAAACCUCAAUAAAUAAAGAGGUCCUAUUCACAGACUGGAAAUCAUAAUAAGCUUCCAUUAGAAAACUGGGCAGAAAUUAUGAAUGUAAAUUAACAAAAGGGGAAAUGAAAACUUGAAAAUUAUUAAGAGAAUAGGAUAAAGACUUCAUCUGGCACAGUAGCAAAAAACGUAAAGUAAAACAAUAAUUGCAUGCCACUUGUGCCAAAGUUUGUACCUGAUCAGGGAGGACCCCUAAUGGCAUGCUCAUGAGAGUAGAAUUUAUUCUGUACAUAAUAUGAAAACAUUAAAGGAUAUUUUAUCGGGAGAGUAACAUCAUAUCAGCCACCCCCCCACCUUUUUUUUAAGGAAAAGGAAGAUUAAUUAGUCCAUGUGAUAUAGGAUGAAUUAAAGAAGAUGAGACUGGCCUGGCAUAGUGGCUCACGCCUGUAAUCCUAGCACUUUGGGAGGCUGAGGUGGGCAGAUCACAGGGUCAGGAGAUUGAGACCCUCUUCUGGGUAACACGGUGAAACCCCAUCUCUACUAAAAAUACAAAAAAUUAGCCGGGUGUGGUGGUGGAUGCCUGUAGUCCCAGCUACUUGGGAGGCUGAGGCAAGAGAAUCGCUUGAACCCGGGAGGCAGAGGUUGCAGUGAGCUGAGAUUGUGCCACUGCACUCCAGCCUGGGUAACAGAGCAAGGCUCCAUCUAAAAAAAAAAAAAAAAAAAAAAAAAAGAUGAGACUGCCUGCCGUAAUUGUAAACAUGAGUGAACAUUUCCAGAAAUGGUCUGUAUAGACAUACUGUUGAAGAUCUAGCUUUGGAUAAACCCGUAGGGAAGGAUUGAAUUACAUGCUAACUUCUUCCAUUCACUAUACUGUCUCUCACUAGACCUUGCUUCCUGAUAAGGGACGCCAUUAUAUCACAAGACUUUCUAUAAAAUGAUAUAACACAACAACAUCCAAUAACUCAUUUUCAAAUUAAAUAGACGUGUCCUUUUAAAGAAAUUUCUUUCACAAAUAUUAGGAGGCACCAGCAUCAAGAAUUAGAGGACUUCUAUUUUCAAAAGGUGCUUUUAUUUUGUCCAUGAAACUUGAGGAACAAUUUUUUUUCUCACCCUGCCUUAUGGUGCUGAGAGGAACAAUUUUAUCAACCUCCUUAAAAUGGCUAUGCCAUCCAUUUUUAACAGGCCUGCUUUAUUGCAAAGGUAGUCUAAUGAAAUGAGACUUCCUUAAGUUUGGCUUUUCCCCAAAGACAAAGAAUUUUCUGAUACUUAUUUUUUAGAAUAUUUCAACUUUAUCUUAGAAGAUCCCUUUUCCUAAGUGGACAUAAGUAUUGUUUCCUCCUAUCAAAGAAAUAACCGAACAGCAAUUCUGUUUAAUUGGCAAUAACAUUGAGCAAAAACUUAAUUUUGCCUGCUCAGAUUUCUUCUGUUUACUUUCUGUUUUAACUGUGUUCCCCAGAGCUCACUAAGACAUGGUGAUGCAAUGAUGGUUUACCCUUUCCCCAACUAAGGCUUGCUGUCACCCCAGCCAUCAGUGUACUCAAGUGACAAAAGAAUUAAUUAAUUUAAAAAAAUUACUUAUUGUUAUUGCAUGGAGGCCUUUUUCAGAACUCCACCAGGCAGAGCUCUAGGUAUGGAGAAACAGAAUAUUUGGAUUAUAGUAACUUUCUCUUUCUUAUUGUAGGUAGGUGCUUUGGUCCUUGCCGGUCCUAGCUCUCCUUAGCAGUGUCCUUCAUAGACAGAAGGAAAAAACGUUAGUCUUCUUGAUAGAGAUCAGGGAAAGCGGGUGUGUUUCAAGAUGUGUAGUUAAUAGCAGCAUGUGGGAAUGAAGGAAUGGAAUAAGUAUGGGACAGGAAAUUAGGAAACCUAGAUUCCAGACUCAGCUCUGCCACUAAUUAGACAUGUGACCUCUGGCAACUCUUUCACUCUCACACGGUCUAAUUUUUUCUCAUCUGUAAUAUGAGGAAAUUUGUUACCAGUGGCAAAUCUGUGCAAAUCUGCAGCAACCUCAAUUCUUGUCUCCUUAGAAGAAAGAAGUGAACUGAGGGGCAUAAGGCAGAAGGAGAGA